UGAAUACGAGAUGCUACGGCGUCGAAGCAGUCUAUGUCAUACUUCCAAGAAAAGCUCGCACUGUCAUAAACAAAUAAUGCCUGUACCAUAACCGACACAGGUGGGUAGGUAGAGUAUACUAAGGGCGCGAGAUAACUCUCUCUAAGGAACUCGGCAAAAUGACUCCGUAACUUCGGGAGAAGGAGUGCCUUAUUUAUAAGGUUGCAAUAACAAGAUCCAAGCAACUGUUUAUCAAAAACACAGGUCUCCGCUAAGUCGUAAGACGAUGUAUGGGGGCUGACGCCUGCCCAGUGCCAGAAGGUUAAAGAAGUUGGUUAGCAUUCGCGAAGCUGAUAACUGAAGCCCUGGUGAACGGCGGCCGUAACUAUAACGGUCCUAAGGUAGCGAAAUUCCUUGUCGGGUAAGUUCCGACCCGCACGAAAGGCGUAAUGAUUUGGAUACUGUCUCGGAGAGGGGCUCGGUGAAAUAGACUUGUCUGUGAAGAUGCGGACUUCCUGCACCAGGACUGAAAGACCCUAUGAAGCUUUACUGUAACUUGAGAUUGAAAUUGGACUUUACUUGCGCAGUAUAGGUGGGAGGCGUUGAUAAUAUUCUUGCGGGAUUAUUUGAGCCAUCAGUGAGAUACCACUCUUGUAAUGUUAGAUUUCUAACUUUGUAUCAUUAUCUGGUCAAAGGACAGUUUCAGGCGGGCAGUUUGACUGGGGCGGCCGCCUCCUAAACGGUAACGGAGGCGCACAAAGGUUUCCUCUGAACGGGUAGAAAUCGUAUCUAGAGUGUAAAGGCAUAAGGAAGCUUGACUGUGAGACCUACAAGUCGAGCAGGGACGAAAGUCGGUCUUAGUGAUCUGACGGUGCUGAGUGGAAAGGCCGUCACUCAACGGAUAAAAGUUACUCUAGGAUAACAGGCUGAUCUCCCCCAAGAGUUCACAUCGACGGGGAGGUUUGGCACCUCGAUGUCGGCUCAUCGCAUCCUGGGGCGGUAGUACGUCCCAAGGGUUGGGCUGUUCGCCCAUGAAAGCGGUACGCGAGCUGGGUUCAGAACGUCGUGAGACAGUUCGGUCCAUAUCCGGUGUAGGCGAUAGAAUAUUGAGAGGAGCCUUCUUUAGUACGAGAGGACCGAGAAGGACAUACCUCUGGUGUACCAGUUAUCGUGCCAACGGUCAACGCUGGGUAGCUAUGUAUGGAGUGGAUAACCGCUGAAAGCAUCUAAGUGGGAAGCCCACCUCAAGAUAAG
rnacentral:rRNA from 1 species